GAACAUUCAUCGCUCGCCUCGCGAACCCUGUUUCCUCGCCUCGCGAGUUGUGCAAUGCAGCUCGCCAUAGCGAGCGACCUUACUCGCCAUAGCGAGCUAAGGCAGAGUGCAUGUUAGAUUUUGUGUUUCGACCUUUUUAGUUGGACCUUGAAUGCCUUAGUGUGCCUGAACAUACCUAGUAAUGAUUAGGAAUGAAUGUAGGGCAAGAUUAGACCCAUAACAACUUUAGUUUGGGAAUUGUUUAGUACUCGCCAUGGCGAGCAAGAACCCUCGCCUCGCGAGCACCUCCAGCCUUGAGUGUUGUGAGUGUUUGUGCGAUUUGUGUCGCACGUUUUGAUCAAGAGCGAACCCCCUUAUGAUAAUAAGACCUAAUGAUGACGUUAAAUGCAGUCUGUAAGCUGUUUAAGAUAUGUUGAAUUGAUUGAGUAUGAUUAAGGUAUUGUAUAUUUAUGUAAGAAAUGGAAGUUUAAUUAUGAAAUAAUUGAUGUGCUAUUGAUAUAAUGAUAUCAUCCUGUUAUGUGACUUGAUUAUGCUGCUGCUGUUAUUUAACUAAGUGCAUUGUAUGUAUUUAUAUAUGAUGAAAUGAUGACGUUUAGCUCCAAAUUGUUGGAUGCAUGUUGAUAUGUUGAUUACGAUGUUUUGUUCAUAAGAGUCCAUGCAUAGCAUCUCAUUGAGCUUAGUCCUCACCACGUUUAUUAGGAGCUUUGUCCUCCGCACGAUUAUUAGGAGCUUUGUCCUCUGCAUGAUUAAAGUAUAUUAAUACUUAUGAUGACGAUUGGUACCACAUGCAUAUAAGGAGUCUAAGAGCAUUGUCACAUUGUCAUGUCCAUAAUGCUAUGUUGUUGAUGACGGUUGAAUAAGUGAAUACGUGAUAUUGUUGAAUAUAUGAAUACGUGAUACUUGUUAUUUGAAUAUGCAAAGUUAUCCAAGAAUGAUUAUGAUGUUAAUGUUAAUUAUGAUUCGAAUUACUUUGAUUAGCAUUAUUUUGUUAUGAAAUCUCACCCCUUCUGCUUGAAAAUGUUGCCCUUCGUAUGGGUAACUUGCAGGUGAUCGUGCUUAGUGUGCAGUUGCUUCUGUGAGUGGCCUUGCCUCACUGUGUCGUCUAGGUCGCUCUGAUACGUAACGGGUUGGGGUUUAUGUUUAUGCAUGCUUCAUUCUCUUACGUGACUAAUAUGUUAUUUUUAUAAUGUUAUGGAUUCUGAUUAUGAACUUUUGAUGGGGCCUGCGUGCCAAAACGUUUUAUGAAUUAUGAUUAUGAUUUUCCGCUGCAAUGUUUAAGAUAUUGGUUAAAUUAUUAUUUAACUGUUUUGGAUUAUGUUUUAUGUGAUAUCCCGUUGUUUAUGAUGCUUACUCUGAUAAAUGUUUUUAAGAAUUUUUAUGUUGGGAAAACGGGGUGUUACAAUUGGUAUCAGAGCAGGUCGGUCCGUCCGGUCAAUUAGAGAGUCGUGUCGAGUCUUAGUAAUAUUUAUAUUACUAUCUUAUGUUGUUGUUGCUACUUUUGUAGAAUCUCGGAAAUGGCUGGAAGAAACGAUGCUGCGUUAGCUGCUGCUCUACAAGCUGUUGCCCAAGCUGUGGGACAACAACCUAACGCAAAUGCUGGUGCGAACGCGGAAGCUAGGAUGUUGGAGACGUUCAUGAAGAAGAACCCUCCGACCUUCAAAGGACAUUAUGACCCUGAUGGAGCCCAGACGUGGCUUAAGGAGAUUGAGAGGAUUUUCCGGGUUAUGCAGUGCACUGAAGAUCAGAAGGUGCGGUUUGGUACUCAUCAGAUAGCCGAGGAAGCUGAUGACUGGUGGGUUGCUCUUCUGCCUACCCUUGGGCAGGAGGGAGCUGUUGUGACUUGGGCUGUUUUCAGGAGAGAGUUCCUGAGAAGAUACUUUCCGGAAGAUGUUCGCGGGAAGAAAGAGAUCGAAUUCCUUGAGCUGAAGCAAGGAAAUAUGUCCGUGACAGAGUAUGCUGCCAAGUUCGUGGAGCUGUCUAAGUUCUAUCCGCACUAUACUGCUGAGAAUGCUGAGUUCUCGAGAUGUAUCAAGUUCGAGAACGGUUUGAGGCCCGACAUUAAGAGGGCGAUUGGAUACCAACAGCUGAGAGUUUUUCAGGAUUUGGUUAAUAGCUGCAGGAUCUAUGAAGAGGAUACGAAGGCUCACUACAAGGUAGUGAAUGAAAGGAAGGGCAAGGGACAGCAGAGUCCUCCUAAGCCGUACAGUGCCCCCGCUGACAAAGGUAAACAGAAGAUGGUCGAUGUUAGGCGGCCUAAGAAGAAGGAUGCUGCAGAGAUUGUGUGUUUCAAUUGUGGUGAGAAAGGCCACAAAAGCAACGUCUGCCCUGAGGAAAUCAAGAAGUGUGUCCGGUGUGGCAAGAAAGGUCAUGUUGUAGCUGAUUGCAAUCGUACAGACAUUGUGUGCUUUAAUUGCAAUGGAGAGGGUCACAUUAGUUCACAGUGUACUCAGCCUAAGAGGGCGCCGACUACUGGUAGGGUCUUUGCUUUGACUGGGACUCAGACAGAGAAUGAGGAUCGUUUGAUCAGAGGUACUUGCUAUAUUAAUAAUACUCCUUUAGUUGCUAUUAUUGAUACUGGUGCUACGCAUUGUUUUAUUGCUUUCGAUUGUGUUUCUGCUUUGGGUCUUGUUUUGUCUGAUAUGAAUGGAGAGAUGGUUGUCGAAACUCCAGCUAAGGGUUCGGUGACUACUUCUCUCGUAUGUUUGAAAUGUCCUUUGUCUAUGUUUGGUCGUGAUUUCGAAAUGGAUUUAGUUUGUCUACCUUUGAGCGGUAAGGAUGUGAUUCUGGGUAUGAACUGGUUAGAGUACAACCACGUUCUUAUUAAUUGUUUUAGCAAGUCAGUACAUUUCUCUUCCGUCGAAGAGGAAAGUGGUGCAGAGUUUUUAUCUACUAAGCAGCUGAAGCAACUGAAACGCGACGGUAUCUUGAUGUUUUCGUUGAUGGCUACUUUAUCUAUUGAGAAUCAAGCAGUGAUUGAUAGGUUACCGGUGGUGUGUGAAUUUCCUGAAGUUUUUCCAGAUGAGAUUCCUGAUGUGCCUCCAGAGAGAGAAGUUGAGUUUUCUAUUGAUCUUGUUCCUGGAACGAAGCCGGUCUCGAUGGCACCUUAUCGUAUGUCUGCUUCUGAGUUAUCUGAGUUGAAGAAACAGUUAGAAGACUUGCUUGAGAAGAAGUUUGUUAGACCGAGUGUUUCACCUUGGGGAGCGCCGGUUUUGUUAGUAAAGAAGAAAGAUGGUAGUAUGCGGUUGUGUAUUGAUUAUCGGCAGUUGAACAAGGUAACUAUCAAGAAUAGGUAUCCACUUCCGAGAAUUGAUGAUUUGAUGGAUCAGCUAGUGGGUGCACGAGUUUUCAGCAAGAUUGAUUUGAGGUCAGGUUAUCACCAGCUUAAAGUAAAGGAUGAAGAUAUGCAGAAGACAGCUUUCAGAACGCGUUAUGGUCACUAUGAAUAUAAAGUUAUGCCUUUCGGUGUGACCAAUGCACCUGGAGUGUUUAUGGAGUAUAUGAAUCGCAUCUUCCAUGCAUUUUUGGAUCGGUUUGUGGUUGUGUUUAUCGACGAUAUUUUGAUUUACUCCAAGACUGAAGAAGAACAUGCUGAGCAUCUGAAGAUUGUUUUGCAAGUGUUGAAAGAGAAGAAGCUUUAUGCUAAAUUGUCUAAGUGUGAAUUCUGGUUGAAAGAAGUGAGUUUUCUAGGCCAUGUUAUUUCCGGAGAUGGUAUUGCUGUGGAUCCGUCUAAAGUCGAAGCUGUAUCGCAAUGGGAUACUCCUAAGUCCGUUACUGAAAUUAGAAGCUUUUUGGGUUUAGCUGGUUACUAUAGAAGGUUUAUUGAAGGAUUUUCUAAGUUAGCUCUUCCGCUAACGCAGUUGACUUGUAAAGGUAAAACUUUUGUAUGGGAUGUUCAUUGUGAGAAAAGUUUCGGUGAAUUGAAGAAGCGUUUGACGACUGCUCCAGUGUUAAUUUUGCCGAAGUCAGAUGAACCUUUUGUGGUAUAUUUUGAUGCGUCCAAGUUGGGUUUAGGAGGUGUACUUAUGCAAGAAGGUAAAGUGGUAGCAUAUGCUUCAAGACAGUUGAGAAUUCAUGAGAAGAAUUAUCCUACGCAUGAUCUCGAGUUGGCGGCAGUAGUCUUUGUAUCGAAGAUAUGGAGACAUUACUUGUUUGGUUCGAGAUUUGAGGUGUUUAGUGAUCACAAGAGUUUGAAGUAUUUGUUCGAUCAGAAGGAAUUGAAUAUGAGGCAGCGAAGAUGGCUUGAGUUGCUAAAGGAUUACGACUUUGGUUUGAAUUAUCAUCCGGGUAAAGCUAAUGUUGUUGCAGAUGCCUUGAGUAGGAAGAAAUUGCAUAUGUCCGCCAUGAUGGUCAGAGAGUUCGAGUUACUUGAACAGUUUAGAGAUUUGAGUUUGGUUUGUGAAUGGUCACCUCAGAGUGUGAAACUGGGUAUGCUGAAGAUUGAUAGUGAAUUUCUAAAAAGUAUCAAGGAAGCACAGAAAGUUGAUGUAAAGUUUGUGGACUUGUUGGUUGCUAGAGAUCAGACUGAAGACAGUGAUUUUAAAAUCGACAAUCAAGGUGUGUUGAGAUUCCGAGGAAGAAUUUGUAUCCCAGACAAUGAAGAGAUUAAGAAGAUGAUUCUCGAAGAGAGUCAUAGAAGUAGCUUGAGUAUUCAUCCGGGAGCUACGAAGAUGUACCAUGAUUUAAAGAAGAUUUUCUGGUGGUCUGGUUUGAAACGAGAUGUGGCACAGUUUGUGUAUUCCUGUUUAGUUUGUCAGAAGUCGAAAGUUGAGCAUCAGAAACCUGCUGGAAUGAUGGUACCUUUAGACGUGCCAGAAUGGAAAUGGGAUAGUAUAUCCAUGGAUUUUGUGACGAGUUUGCCGAAUACUCCUAGAGGGAGCGACGCAAUUUGGGUUAUUGUUGAUAGGUUGACGAAGUCAGCUCAUUUUCUACCUAUUAAUAUUAGUUUCCCUGUUGCCCAGUUGGCAGAGAUUUAUAUCAAGGAGAUUAUGAAGUUGCAUGGUGUUCCUUCGAGCAUUGUGUCAGAUAGAGAUCCAAGAUUUACUUCUAGAUUUUGGAAAAGUUUGCAAGAGGCCUUGGGUUCGAAGUUGAGAUUGAGUUCGGCGUAUCAUCCACAGACAGAUGGUCAGUCGGAGAGGACAAUUCAGUCGCUAGAGGAUUUGUUGAGAAUUUGUGUUCUUGAGCAAGGAGGAACUUGGGAUAGUCAUCUUCCGUUGAUCGAGUUCACUUAUAAUAAUAGUUACCAUUCUAGUAUUGGAAUGGCACCGUUCGAGGCCUUGUAUGGUCGGAGAUGCAGAACUCCGUUGUGUUGGUUUGAAUCAGGAGAAAGAGUGGUCUUAGGACCAAAGAUUGUUCAGCAAACUACUGAGAAAGUUCAGAUGAUCCAAGAGAAAAUGAAAGCGUCGCAGAGUCGACAAAAGAGUUAUCAUGAUAAGCGUAGAAAAGAUCUUGAGUUCCAAGAAGGAGACCACGUGUUUUUGAGAGUCACUCCUAUGACUGGUGUAGGACGUGCUUUGAAGUCAAAGAAGUUGACCCCGAAGUUCAUUGGUCCGUAUCAGAUAUUGGAAAGAGUUGGAACGGUGGCUUACCGAGUGGGUUUACCGCCGCAUCUUGCGAAUUUGCACAACGUUUUCCAUGUGUCGCAACUUCGAAAGUAUGUUCCGGAUCCAUCUCAUGUAAUCCAAAGUGACGAUGUGCAAGUUAGAGACAACCUUACGGUAGAGACUUUACCAGUGAGGAUUGAUGAUCGUAAAGUGAAGACGUUGAGAGGCAAGGAGAUACCUCUCGUAAGAGUCGUUUGGACGGGAGCGACUGGUGAAAGCUUGACGUGGGAGCUUGAGAGUAAGAUGCUGGAGUCUUAUCCAGAGUUGUUUGCUUAAGGUAAAUUUUCGAGGACGAAAAUCUUUUAAGUGGGGGAGAGUUGUAACGCCCACUUUCGUUUAAUCGUUAUUUAAUUGAGUUUAGGCAAUUAUAUUAUAAUUAUAUAGUAUAUGCAUGAUUUUGUUAUGUUUUGGUGAUUCACGAUGAAUUUAGUGAUUUGAUUGAUGACGUGAUAAGUUAUGAGUUUUGGAGGAUUUGAUUAUGAUAUGAGAUUUAUUUUAUUGUUAAAUAGAAUAAAGAUUUGAAAAUAAUAUAAAAUAUUUAGUUGAGGGCUGUUUUGAUAUUUUAGAUAGUUUUGGGGGAGAAAGUGAGAUAAGAUAAGUUAUUAGAAAGAGGUAUAAAUAGGAGAAGACCUAAUAUUUUAGAAACUCAUUGUACGUGAAAACUUUUGAAAAAGGGAGAAAAGCUUAAAAGGGAGAAGAGCAUAGAGAGGGCUGCGAUUUCUUCAUACAAGGUAAGGGUGAGACUAAUAACUCAGUAUUGUUAAUUGAAUGUGAUUCUGAUGAUUAGUUAACAAGAAUUAGGAGUGAAUUGGAGAAAACGAAAACUAGGUCAAAACCUUAGAAUUGAUGAUCAAACGGUGAGAAUUGGUUUAAUUGAUGUAGAAAGUGUCCCUAGACCUUAGAUAAUGUUUAGGACGAACUUUGGAAUCAAAAACAAGCUUAGAACCAUGUGAAACGUCGAGUUUUUGUGAAUUUAGGAAGUCUGGCCGUAGCGACAUUCAUCGCUCGCCACGGCGAGCUAUGAAUCUCGCCUCGCGAGUGAUGAACAUUCAUCGCUCGCCUCGCGAACCCUGUUUCCUCGCCUCGCGAGUUGUGCAAUGCAGCUCGCCAUAGCGAGCGACCUUACUCGCCAUAGCGAGCUAAGGCAGAGUGCAUGUUAGAUUUUGUGUUUCGACCUUUUUAGUUGGACCUUGAAUGCCUUAGUGUGCCUGAACAUACCUAGUAAUGAUUAGGAAUGAAUGUAGGGCAAGAUUAGACCCAGAACAACUUU
rnacentral:lncRNA from 1 species